rnacentral:rRNA from 1 species
UCAGGCCUAACACAUGCAAGUCGAGCGGAAACGAGUUAUCUGAACCUUCGGGGGACGAUAACGGCGUCGAGCGGCGGACGGGUGAGUAAUGCCUAGGAAAUUGCCCUGAUGUGGGGGAUAACCAUUGGAAACGAUGGCUAAUACCGCAUAAUGCCUACGGGCCAAAGAGGGGGACCUUCGGGCCUCUCGCGUCAGGAUAUGCCUAGGUGGGAUUAGCUAGUUGGUGAGGUAAGGGCUCACCAAGGCGACGAUCCCUAGCUGGUCUGAGAGGAUGAUCAGCCACACUGGAACUGAGACACGGUCCAGACUCCUACGGGAGGCAGCAGUGGGGAAUAUUGCACAAUGGGCGCAAGCCUGAUGCAGCCAUGCCGCGUGUGUGAAGAAGGCCUUCGGGUUGUAAAGCACUUUCAGUCGUGAGGAAGGUGGUGUAGUUAAUAGCUGCAUUAUUUGACGUUAGCGACAGAAGAAGCACCGGCUAACUCCGUGCCAGCAGCCGCGGUAAUACGGAGGGUGCGAGCGUUAAUCGGAAUUACUGGGCGUAAAGCGCAUGCAGGUGGUUUGUUAAGUCAGAUGUGAAAGCCCGGGGCUCAACCUCGGAAUAGCAUUUGAAACUGGCAGACUAGAGUACUGUAGAGGGGGGUAGAAUUUCA